rnacentral:rRNA from 1 species
AUUGAACGCUGGCGGCAUGCCUUACACAUGCAAGUCGAACGGUAACAGGUCUUCGGAUGCUGACGAGUGGCGAACGGGUGAGUAAUACAUCGGAACGUGCCUAGUAGUGGGGGAUAACUACUCGAAAGAGUGGCUAAUACCGCAUGAGAUCUACGGAUGAAAGCAGGGGAUCGCAAGACCUUGUGCUACUAUAGCGGCCGAUCGCAGAUUAGGUAGUUGGUGGGAUAAAAGCUUACCAAGCCGACGCUCUGUAGCUGGUCUGAGAGGACGAUCAGCCACACUGGGACUGAGACACGGCCCAGACUCCUACGGGAGGCAGCAGUGGGGAAUUUUGGACAAUGGGCGGAAGCCUGAUCCAGCAAUGCCGCGUGCAGGAUGAAGGCCUUCGGGUUGUAAACUGCUUUUGUACGGAACGAAAAGCCCUGGGUUAAUACCCUGGGGUCAUGACGGUACCGCAAGAAUAAGCACCGGCUAACUACGUGCCAGCCGCCGCAGUAAUAC